rnacentral:rRNA from 1 species
GACGAGGGGUCCUAGCGUUGUUCGGAAUCAUUGGGCGUAAAGCGUGUGUAGGCGGCCAUCCAAGUCAGUUGUGAAAGCCCCGGGCUCAACCCGGGAAGUGCUUCUGAUACUGUUUGGCUUGAGUACUGGAGAGGAUAGUAGAAUUCCUGGUGUAGUGGUGAAAUACGUAGAUAUCAGGAGGAAUACCGGUGGCGAAGGCGGCUAUCUGGCCAUGUACUGACGCUGAGACACGAAAGCGUGGGGAGCAAACAGG